AAUCUGGAAACCAGAUGGAUCCUCUAUCUGCUCCACCAAAGCUUGUUCCAGUUGGUGGACCAGCAGGCCCCAGCAGCCCACCGUCUCGAGGAACCCUUUGUGAAUCGUCAGGUGGGGCUGGCAGCCCACUUAACCAGAGUACAGGAGCCUGCAAUAACAAUAACCCACAAAGCAUGGUGACCAUGCCAUGGAAGUAAAAGCUGUCAUAACCGAAGUAAGUGCUUCACUAAUUUGUGUAGUAAAACAUGGGCUCUGUUGUUGUCUUACUAUUCACUAUAGCCUCCUCAAGAGACCCAUUUGUAAUUUGAAAUGUCCCUUGUAAUCGUUUAAGAGUAGAAUGAGAGACUU
rnacentral:lncRNA from 1 species